GACGAACGCUGGCGGCGUGCUUAACACAUGCAAGUCGAACGGAAAGGCCCUGCUUUUGUGGGGUGCUCGAGUGGCGAACGGGUGAGUAACACGUGAGUAACCUGCCCUUGACUUUGGGAUAACUUCAGGAAACUGGGGCUAAUACCGGAUGGGAGCUCCUGCUGCAUGGUGGGGGUUGGAAAGUUUCGGCGGUUGGGGAUGGACUCGCGGCUUAUCAGCUUGUUGGUGGGGUAGUGGCUUACCAAGGCUUUGACGGGUAGCCGGCCUGAGAGGGUGACCGGCCACAUUGGGACUGAGAUACGGCCCAGACUCCUACGGGAGGCAGCAGUGGGGAAUAUUGCACAAUGGGCGGAAGCCUGAUGCAGCAACGCCGCGUGCGGGAUGACGGCCUUCGGGUUGUAAACCGCUUUCGCCUGUGACGAAGCGUGAGUGACGGUAAUGGGUAAAGAAGCACCGGCUAACUACGUGCCAGCAGCCGCGGUGAUACGUAGGGUGCGAGCGUUGUCCGGAUUUAUUGGGCGUAAAGGGCUCGUAGGUGGUUGAUCGCGUCGGAAGUGUAAUCUUGGGGCUUAACCCUGAGCGUGCUUUCGAUACGGGUUGACUUGAGGAAGGUAGGGGAGAAUGGAAUUCCUGGUGGAGCGGUGGAAUGCGCAGAUAUCAGGAGGAACACCAGUGGCGAAGGCGGUUCUCUGGGCCUUUCCUGACGCUGAGGAGCGAAAGCGUGGGGAGCGAACAGGCUUAGAUACCCUGGUAGUCCACGCUGUAAACGGUGGGUACUAGGUGUGGGGUCCAUUCCACGGGUUCCGUGCCGUAGCUAACGCUUUAAGUACCCCGCCUGGGGAGUACGGCCGCAAGGCUAAAACUCAAAGGAAUUGGCGGGGCCCCGCACAAGCGGCGGAGCAUGCGGAUUAAUUCGAUGCAACGCGUAGAACCUUACCUGGGUUUGACAUGGAUCGGGAGUGCUCAGAGAUGGGUGUGCCUCUUUUGGGGUCGGUUCACAGGUGGUGCAUGGCUGUCGUCAGCUCGUGUCGUGAGAUGUUGGGUUAAGUCCCGCAACGAGCGCAACCCUUGUUCACUGUUGCCAGCACGUUAUGGUGGGGACUCAGUGGAGACCGCCGGGGUCAACUCGGAGGAAGGUGGGGAUGACGUCAAGUCAUCAUGCCCCUUAUGUCCAGGGCUUCACGCAUGCUACAAUGGCUGGUACAGAGAGUGGCGAGCCUGUGAGGGUGAGCGAAUCUCGGAAAGCCGGUCUCAGUUCGGAUUGGGGUCUGCAACUCGACCUCAUGAAGUCGGAGUCGCUAGUAAUCGCAGAUCAGCAACGCUGCGGUGAAUACGUUCCCGGG
rnacentral:rRNA from 1 species